CUUCAAUAAGGGUUUGAUAACUUCUAAAUUUCCUUUCGCAUAUAGUCGCUAAUGUAGUUAUGAUCUUACUUUUUGUUAAAUACAUUCAUAAUCUUGGAGGUUGUUAGAUACCUUAGAUUGAUGUUUAAUGACACUUGUGUUGUGUUUCCUUGCUGGUUUCAUCAUUGGUACUCUAACUUUGUACUUUUAUGUAUCAAUCUCUUUAAGAAAUCCUUUUAUUGUGAUAAGAAGUGCUUUAUGAGGUUAAAAGUGUUUUGUGAAAGAAAAGAGUUGAUUAAAGAGAGACAAAGCUUAUUCAAGAGGUUAUCAAACUUAUGAGAAGUCUUAUAAGUAAAGUUGAGAGUGAUUGAAGAGUGUAAACAAUAGUUUAUUCAUUAAGAGGGCAUUUUGGGUUUCUAAGGUAGCAACAUCUUCUUGUUGAUUUUGACAGUUCAUUCUUUCAUUUUUUUGAUUUUCUUUGAUACACCCUUUCUUAAGACAUGGCUAUAAGUAAGGAUGAGGGUUUGAGAGUAAUUGAGAAGUUUGGGGUGACAACUUCUACCAUUGGAAGAAGAAAAUGGAACUCUUGUUCGCUUCAUUAGAUCUUUGAAACAUUGUUGAUGAAAGUGAAGACCCUCCAGGUAAUAAUGCUGAUGUGAAGGUAAAGAAGGAAUACAAACGACGUAAAAUGAAGGCUUUUGGUAUGAUUGCAACAAAUCUUGAUGAUGCAAACUUUUCACAUGUAAAUGCUUGCAUUGGACCAACAAAAGUAUAGAAGACUCUUUACAACAUCUAUGAGAAUAGAAACCUUAUCAACAUUCUAUGGACAAGAAAG
rnacentral:lncRNA from 1 species